AGGUACACAAUUCAGGCAGUGGAGAGAAGGCCGUAGGGAGUGGCUGAGAAGUCCCUCAAGAGAAGAGGUUGCUGUUCACUGAUGGUAGAGUGUUUUGAGAGUGGUGAAACCAGGUUAUCCCUUUCUUCUUUUAACAUGUCAUGUGAUUCUCUGAGGGAGCAGCUGCGUGAGUGGAGAUGCUCUCAGUGGUGGAAAAUGGACUGGACCCCCGGGCUGCCAUCCCGGCGAUGAAAGCUCCGUGUGUGUUGUUGCCCCUGAAGACCUAAGAGUGGAACAAGAUGUGAAGGUGGAGGACAGUAAUUCCGACAAAUCUGAC
rnacentral:lncRNA from 1 species